rnacentral:lncRNA from 1 species
UGAAGGCUUGCCCCCGACCCCCAACCUAGGAACAACACUAAGACGUUUCGUUUCCAUUUUUUUGGUUAAAAGCAUCGCAUAGUAUAGUGAUAGUGCCCGGUCCGCAGCUGCGGAGUCCGCCUUCCCUUGAAAACACCUCCCAGAGGGGAGGGUUAUAGUACAGAUGUACGCUAAGGAAUAUUAUUAGUAAGACAGACGUAUAAAGUGCAUAUGUACUAUAGCUUCAAAAGAAAAUAGAUCCUUGUUCGGGUGUUCUGGUGGUGCCCCCGUCUGGUCUACUAUCGUCUUUUCACCGCCGCUAGACUACUUUGGCUCACCAAAUGGCACAACCACAGUAGCUGGCUUGGCUCCCUCUUGCUCUGGUCUACACUCCCCUUGUGAGUCGCCACCCUCAUGUACUACUCUACUAUAAACAAACAGAACUACUACAGAUAGACUAGAACAUUUCUUAUGUCAAACCAUUCGAUUGAAUGCAAUCUCUGAUGUCAAUGACACGAAAAAGGGAUAUAUACAAUGAAUGGAAUAUACUGCGUCAGUAUUUGAAAGCAUAUGCAAAGCCAACAAUGGGCACAGUCGAUCGUAGAUCCCACAUGAUGCGUUGUAC